UUUAUUCAAUAGCUUUGGGCCUGAAAAACACCCGCUAAAUUGCAUCCCAUUUUCCCCAAGCCCAUUAGCAACCAGCGGCUCAGUCUCUGUAAUUCUGCCGAGCCACCCUGGGCGGGCAGGGAGGGGGCUCCGUUCCACUGCCGCCCCCACCUGCCCCGGGAACAAUGGCCUGCCUGAGUCACGGUCAGAGGGCGGGACCCCCGCAGCCUCAGUCCCCCGCCUCUGCCAGCUGAGCCCCGUUUUGGCCUUUCCUCUGCCUUUAGUGGCCUCACCUGUUCUCCACACACUCCUAGGGCCCCUCAAAUCCCUCUCUUUGGGCCCCCAGGUUGGAUGUCUCCCCCCGGGGCUCCCACAGCCUGGAAGCUCGGACCACCUGCCCGCCCCGCCCAAGUGUAAGGGUGCCCUUUUCUGGUGCCGGUCAGUUGUAACAACGGCCAACAGCUUCCUUUCCCGAGGGGUUGCCUGCCGGCACUGUGCCC
rnacentral:lncRNA from 1 species